CCAUUCACUCCCACCCCCCGCCCUCCUCCCCUUCUACCACCCCUAGUUCGUUUCCCAGAGUUAGCAGUCUUUACGUUCUGUCUCCCUUUCUGAUAUUUCCCACCCAUUUCUUCUCCCUUCCCUUAUUUUCCCUUUCACUAUUAUUUAUAUUCCCCAAUGAAUGAGAACAUAUAAUGUUUGUCCUUCUCCGACUGACUUACUUCACUCAGCAUAAUACCCUCCAGUUCCAUCCACGUUGAAGCAAAUUUGUGGGUAUUUGUCUUUUCUAAUAGCUGAGUAAUAUUCCAUUGUAUACAUAAACCACAUCUUCUUUAUCCAUUCAUCUUUCGUUGGACACCGAGGCUCCUUCCACAGUUUGGCUAUAGUGGCCAUGGCUGCUAGAAACAUCAGGAUGCAGGUGUCCCGGCGUUUCAUUGCAUUUGUAUCUUUGGGGUAAAUCCCCAACAGUGCAAUUGCUGGGUCGUAGGGCAGGUCUAUUUUUAACUGUUUGAGGAACCUCCACACAGUUUUCCAGAGUGGCUGCACCAGUUCACAUUCCCACCAACAGUGUAAGAGGGUUCCCUUUCUCCGCAUCCUCUCCAACAUUUGUGUUUCCUGCCUUGUUAAUUUUCCCCAUUCUCACUGGUGUGAGGUAGUAUCUCAUUGUAGUUUUGAUUUGUAUUUCCUGAUGGCAAGUGAUGCAGAGCAUUUUCUCAUAUGCAUGUUGGCCAUGUCUAUGUCUUCCUCUGUGAGAAUUCUGUUCAUGUCUUUUGCCCAUUCAUGAUUGGAUUGUUUGUUUCUUUGGUGUUGAGUUUAAUAAGUUCUUUAUAGAUCUUGGAAACUAGCCCUUUAUCUGAUGUGUCAUUUGCAAAUAUCUUCUCCCAUUCUGUAGGUUGUCUUUGAGUUUUGUUGACUGUAUCCUUUGCUGUGCAAAAGCUUUUUCUUGAUGAAGUCCCAAUAGUUCAUUUUGCUUUUGUUUCUUUUGCCUUCGUGGAUGUAUCUGCAAGAAGUUACUAUGGCCGAGUUCAAAAAGGGUGUUGCCUGUGUUCUUCUCUAGGAUUUUGAUGGAAUCUUGUCUCACAUUUAGAUCUUUCAUCCAUUUUGAGUUUAUCUUUGUGUAUGGUGAAGAGAGUGGUCUAGUUUCAUUCUUCUGCAUGUGGAUUGUCCAAUUUUCCCAGCACCAUUUUUGAAGAGACUGUCUUUCUUCCAAUGGAUAGUCUUUCCUCCUUUAUCGAAUAUUAGUUGCCCAUAAAGUUCAGGGUCCACUUCUGGAUUCUCUAUUCUGUUCCACUGAUCUAUGUGUCUGUUUUUGUGCCAGUACCACACUGUCUUGAUGACCACAGCUUUGUAGUACAACCUGAAAUCUGGCAUUGUGAUGCCCCCAGAUAUGGUUUUCUUUUUUAAAAUUCCCCUGGCUAUUCGGGGUCUUUUCUGAUUCCACACAAAUCUUAAAUAAUUUGUUCUAACUCUCUGAAGAAAGUCCAUGGUAUUUUGAUAGGGAUUGCAUUAAACGUGUAUAUUGCCCUGGGUAACAUUGACAUUUUCACAAUAUUAAUUUGCCAAUCCAUGAGCAUGGAAUAUUUUUCCAUCUCUUGUGUCUUCCUCAAUUUCUUUCAGAAGUGUUCUAUAGUUUUGAGGGUAUAGAUCCUU
rnacentral:lncRNA from 1 species